rnacentral:lncRNA from 1 species
CUCAGUCAGGUGAGAGACUUAUUAGUCAGAUGUUUCUCUAUUGACUGUGCAACUAGGUUUUAAGGACAACAUACAAAAUGAGGUAGGGAGAUGAAGGGAGAAAUAUAAGGUCAACUCCUAUUCCACUCGAAUACAUUUCAUUUAACAAAAACAAGAGAACCAGUGCUUUUUACUGAAGAAGUGGAGUUUAAAUGUAUGUAAACUUACUAACCAGUUUAAAAGUAGAAGACUUUUCUAUUUUUUUUUCUUUUCCUUUUUUUCUUUUUGUUUUUAUGGAUAACAUAGUCUAAGUAUUGUCCUUUAGAGUUUUCAUAAAAACCUUGAAAUAUUAGUUACAGGAUUGUUUUCUUCCAGGCUUUGUUUUGUUUUGCUUGAUUCUAAGAGAAAGAGGAUCUGGCCAAGAGCACUCAUGCAGAGCAAUUCAUAUGUCUCUGAGGAAUUUGGAUAAAGUUUUCUGGAAACUGGGAAAAGUGGAGGAAUACCAGGAGAUAAUUAAUUAAUCAUAAUCACCUAAAACAUAAGGAUUAUAAUCCUCGGUAAAGGAUGUGUAUCUUUGCUGUCCAUGGACAUCAGAAGACUAUCUGCAGUUCUGUGAAAUCAACAGCAUCUACAGUUGGGAUCCAUCUAUGCUAUAGCAAAUUAAGAAUUUAAGGACUUCCCUGGUUGUGUCCUUCCUGGUUGUGCUCUUGACUGAUCAAGAACUGCUGUAAAGAAAGCUGGAAGAAGCCUCAGCAAGGGUUGCCUUCCUCAGGGUGCUGCUUUUUGGACAGAACUCUUGCUUCUCCUUGCAGCUGCUUUACAGCCCUGCCUGUGCCUGAGGGGCUUAUUGACUUGAUGGGCCCAGACUCCCACAUACAGUAUUUCUGGCUUGGCAAAUGAUUUGCAGCCUAUGGAGUACUUAAAGUAAGACAGAGCUGUUGGUUCAGGAACUUAAUCUCAGGGAGUUCAAAUACCAGGAUUCUCUAAUAAAUACCAUUUUGCACUCCUACUGAGAAACCUGAAAUAAACUGUGGGAUACUGAAUUCAGAAAUAAAGCCCCAAACUUGCAAGCUUUCAUGUCCCUAGCUGAUCUUUCUACUAUGGCAACUUGAAUUUGGAAUUUUCUGACGGACUGAGGUAUGAUUCCCUCACAUGAGAAUGCAUCCAUGUGAGAGAUGACACAAGAGCUUCAGCUGCACUAUGUUUUAUGAAUAUGAAAACAGUCUAGUAUUAGGUAAUUUGAAUUUGUACUGCCUGCUGAGGUAAGGGAGCAGAAGUUGGAAGCACAGGAAUUUACUUUAGAUGUUUGAAUUGGAAUAUAUUAAUAUAUUGAGGAGUAUCUGUGAAGCUGUUUGCCUUAAGUUGAUAAGGAUUUAUGGAUAGAAAGAAGUUUAUGAAAUGACCAAAGUGUCUUCAGAUUUUAAUCUACCAUUAUAAAAUAUAAUGCAUUACUUAGAAACUAAGGACUCAAAAUGCUAAGCUAGUAAUUAUAAAAAUAUACUAAAUGAUUCUAUGGUGUGUAUUUUGAGGUAACAGAUAAUUAUUUACUCUAACAUAGAGAGAAUAAAGAUUGCUAUUGAUCAUACUUUGUUCUAAAAUUACUUUUUUUCCACAUCAAAAUGCCAGCUACAUUGUGGUUUGAGUUGUAAGCUAGACUGCAUAUUUGAGUAUGAAUACGUUUGUAUUAUAGAGUUAGGACAGCUGUUUUCUAAGAUUUUCCAUAAAGAAGAACAGAUAAGUAACUGUUCCAUUGUUUGAACACCCUCAUAGUAAAAAAGUUUUUUCUUAUAUUCAGAUGGGAAUUUCAUGUACUUCCGUUUGUGCCCAUUGCCUUUUGUCCUGUCACAGCACACCACUGAAAACAGACUGGCUCCAGCUCCCUAACAUCCUCUCUUCAGAUAUUUAUAAACAUUGAUAAGAUCUUGCUGAGCCUUCGUUCUUCCUGGGCUAAACGGUCCCAGCUCAUUCAGCCUCUCCUUGUGCUUAUCUGGAUUCACAGGAUAAAAGUGCAAUAAAAUACAUUCUGGUGAGAAGGAAUAAUGUCAUGUCCUGGUCCAUCUAACCAUUAUACUCUAAAAAAAAAUGUAGGUACAUGAAUUUUGCUAGCUUGAGGAAGAACAGUUUUUGUAAAGGUCUAGUAGUGGAAUAGAAGAUUAAAUAGUCCUUAUGUCAAUCAUACUUGCAAUGAAUUUGAAAGUUUAAGUAAUCCCAGCUAUAAAAAUUUUAUAAAACCAUUUUUACCAAAUAAAUAUGCAAGUCCUAUGUACAGCCAUGAGGUGUGAAAAAGAUUAGUGUGACACAAAAUUUUGUGAAAUGUGUGAAACAAAAUUCAUAGGCCUAUGCAGGUACAACUGGUAGUUGUUCUAAAGAAAUAUCUAUUGAAUGAUAGUAAUUAUUUUGAAUUCAGUUAAGUGUAGGUCAGUUGAGAAGUGAAUCUAAGUGGUAUUACUGUAGGAAAAUUGUCAAAUCUAAUUGAAUGAGAGGUGAUACAAAAGACUUCUUAAGUAUCCUUGUCUCCUGCAAACUGUGGGAGAGCAAGGCAGAAUAAUACUGUGGAAGGAAUGGACAGCUGGCACUGUGAUAUCUACGAAAUAAUGUUCUUACCUGUUCCAUGAAACACAGGUUAAGUCCCUUUUUUCCACUGUCUCUUACAGUGGAAUAUACCUGUUGUAUUGAAAAGAGUAGAAGAAAUAUAUUUUUCUUGUUAGGUUUUCCAUCUGAUUUCAGAAUUUUUUGGUGAGAGGUCUGAGAGGAGAGAGGAAGAUUGAGAUGUGGAUGUUACUUCCAUCAACUGGGGAAAAAAUAUCCAAAAGCAUGUGUUCAGUUUGAGAAUCUGGUUGAGAGUAGUCCUUUUCCAUUGGAAAAUAUGAAAUGAAAGUACUUACUUGCGCAGUGUCUUUUUAUUGCUUGAGUAGAAAAUUUAAUAACCUAAUGUUGAUGACUUAUUUAAAUGGCAGCAAUUAUAUUAAAGAUGUGUGCUAGCAUCAGUAAGACAUUAUUAUUGUCUAAAUUUCUAAACACUGUUACCAUCUCAGCUGAAUUCUUAAUGGUAAUUUCUGUUAUCUUUCUGAUAACUUAUCUUUCUGUAUUAAUUAUCUUUCUGUAACUGGGACUUUGCUAAAGGUAAAAGAAAUGUAAACCUAACUGUCUAAAUAGCAAUUGUUAGACUAAUAACUGAUAUAGAAUGUUUUGCACGUGACUCACAUUACUUUAAUCAAAUGUUAGAAUACACACAAUUUGGCAGGCAAUUUUCUCCAGAGUAAGUUGCAGCAUACAGCUCUUUACUAGAGACUGUAUUCUCCUAAAACCAGUGAAACUAUUUCCUCUUUGCUCUUUCACUUAUGUUUUAGUCAUUUGCAUGUCUUUGAAAGAGCACAGAUAUUUGAAAUGCCUCUUCCAGUUCUGGAUGAUUUCCUAUCUUAAUCCUUUUCAUCAUAACUAACUCAGAUUUUGUUUGUUACUCUUCAUCUCUCCACUCCUAUGUUAAUUUUCUUUCUUAUGUCUUGCUCAGUGUGGUCUGUUGUAACAUCACUGCAACAGUAUUGCCAAAGGCUUGCUUAAUGAAACUAUAUUUUUAAAUUAUAAUUAAAGAUGAUUAGAAAAAUGUUAUUUCUGGAUUUUGUAAAGGAAUUAUCAAAUUUAG